CGGGAAUAUUGCGCAAUGGAGGAAACUCUGACGCAGUGACGCCGCGUGCAGGAAGAAGGUUUUCGGAUUGUAAACUGCUUUAGACAGGGAAGAACAAAGACAGUACCUGUAGAAUAAGCUCCGGCUAACUACGUGCCAGCAGCCGCGGUAAUACGUAGGGAGCAAGCGUUAUCCGGAUUUAUUGGGUGUAAAGGGUGCGUAGACGGGAAAUUAAGUUAGUUGUGAAAUCCCUCGGCUUAACUGAGGAACUGCAACUAAAACUGGUUUUCUUGAGUGUUGGAGAGGAAAGUGGAAUUCCUAGUGUAGCGGUGAAAUGCGUAGAUAUUAGGAGGAACACCAGUGGCGAAGGCGACUUUCUGGACAAUAACUGACGUUGAGGCACGAAAGUGUGGGGAGCAAACAGGAUUAGAUACCCUGGUAGUCCACACCGUAAACGAUGGAUACUAGGUGUAGGGUGUGAUAAACAUUCUGUGCCGUCGCAAACGCAAUAAGUAUCCCACCUGGGGAGUACGGCCGCAAGGUUGAAACUCAAAGGAAUUGACGGGGGCCCGCACAAGCAGUGGAGUAUGUGGUUUAAUUCGACGCAACGCGAAGAACCUUACCAGGGCUUGACAUAUACAGGAAUAUGUAAGAGAUUACAUAGCUCUUCGGAGUCUGUAUACAGGUGGUGCAUGGUUGUCGUCAGCUCGUGUCGUGAGAUGUUGGGUUAAGUCCCGCAACGAGCGCAACCCCUGUUCUUAGUUGCCAGCACGCAAUGGUGGGAACUCUAAGAAGACUGCCGGUGAUAAAUCGGAGGAAGGUGGGGACGACGUCAAAUCAUCAUGCCCUUUAUGUCCUGGGCUACACACGUACUACAAUGGCUAUUACAGAGGGAAGCGAAGCCGCGAGGUGGAGCAAAACCCAAAAAAGUAGUCUCAGUUCAGAUUGAAGGCUGAAAUUCGCCUUCAUGAAGCCGGAAUUGCUAGUAAUGGCAGGUCAGCAUACUGCCGUGAAUACGUUCCCG
rnacentral:rRNA from 1 species